rnacentral:rRNA from 1 species
UACAGAGGUCUCAAGCGUUGUUCGGAUUCAUUGGGCGUAAAGGGUGCGUAGGUGGCGCCGUAAGUCAGGUGUGAAAUUUCGGAGCUUAACUCCGAAACUGCAUUUGAUACUGCGGUGCUUGAGGACUGGAGAGGAGACUGGAAUUCACGGUGUAGCAGUGAAAUGCGUAGAUAUCGUGAGGAACACCAGUGGCGAAGGCGAGUCCCUGGACAACACCUGACACUGAGGCACGAAAGCCGGGGGAGCAAACAGG